ACGUAGGGUGCGAGCGUUAAUCGGAAUUACUGGGCGUAAAGCGUGCGCAGGCGGUUCGUUAAGUCUGAUGUGAAAGCCCCGGGCUCAACCUGGGAAUGGCAUUGGAAACUGGCGAGCUGGAGUAUGGCAGAGGGGGGUGGAAUUCCACGUGUAGCAGUGAAAUGCGUAGAGAUGUGGAGGAACACCGAUGGCGAAGGCAGCCCCCUGGGCCAAUACUGACGCUCAGGCACGAAAGCGUGGGGAGCAAACAGGAUUAGAUACCCUGGUAGUCCACGCCCUAAACGAUGAUCACUAGGUGUUGGGGGAGCGAUUCCUUGGUACCGUAGCUAACGCGUGAAGUGAUCCGCCUGGGGAGUACGGUCGCAAGAUUA
rnacentral:rRNA from 1 species